AUUGAACGCUGGCGGCAGGCCUAACACAUGCAAGUCGAGCGGCAGCGGGGAAGUAGCUUGCUACUUUUGCCGGCGAGCGGCGGACGGGUGAGUAAUGCCUGGGAAAUUGCCCAGUCGAGGGGGAUAACAGUUGGAAACGACUGCUAAUACCGCAUACGCCCUACGGGGGAAAGCAGGGGACCUUAGGGCCUUGCGCGAUUGGAUAUGCCCAGGUGGGAUUAGCUAGUUGGUGAGGUAAUGGCUCACCAAGGCGACGAUCCCUAGCUGGUCUGAGAGGAUGAUCAGCCACACUGGAACUGAGACACGGUCCAGACUCCUACGGGAGGCAGCAGUGGGGAAUAUUGCACAAUGGGGGAAACCCUGAUGCAGCCAUGCCGCGUGUGUGAAGAAGGCCUUCGGGUUGUAAAGCACUUUCAGCGAGGAGGAAAGGCCAGUAGCUAAUAUCUGCUGGCUGUGACGUUACUCGCAGAAGAAGCACCGGCUAACUCCGUGCCAGCCGCCGCCGUAACAC
rnacentral:rRNA from 1 species